GGAGAGAUGGCUGAGUGGUUGAAAGCACCGGUCUUGAAAACCGGCAAGGGUUAAUAGCCCUUCUAGGGUUCGAAUCCCUAUCUCUCCGCCA
rnacentral:tRNA from 3 species